UCGAGGGGUAUAGGUUUUCGGACCUAGAGACCGGCGCACGGGUGCGUAACGCGUAUGCAAUCUACCUUUUACAGAGGGAUAGCCCAGAGAAAUUUGGAUUAAUACCUCAUAGUAUUACGACUCGGCAUCGAGAUGUAAUUAAAGUCACAACGGUAAAAGAUGAGCAUGCGUCCCAUUAGUUUGUUGGUAAGGUAACGGCUUACCAAGACUACGAUGGGUAGGGGUCCUGAGAGGGAGAUCCCCCACACUGGUACUGAGACACGGACCAGACUCCUACGGGAGGCAGCAGUGAGGAAUAUUGGUCAAUGGGCGCAAGCCUGAACCAGCCAUGCCGCGUGCAGGAUGAAGCAUCUAUGGUGUGUAAACUGCUUUUGUACGAGAAGAAACACUGCUACGUGUAGCAGCUUGACGGUAUCGUAAGAAUAAGGACCGGCUAACUCCGUGCCAGCAGCCGCGGUAAUACGGAGGGUCCAAGCGUUAUCCGGAAUCAUUGGGUUUAAAGGGUCCGUAGGCGGUUUUGUAAGUCAGUGGUGAAAGCCCAUCGCUCAACGGUGGAACGGCCAUUGAUACUGCAAGACUUGAAUUAUUGGGAAGUAACUAGAAUAUGUAGUGUAGCGGUGAAAUGCUUAGAGAUUACAUGGAAUACCAAUUGCGAAGGCAGGUUACUACCAAUAUAUUGACGCUGA
rnacentral:rRNA from 1 species